rnacentral:rRNA from 1 species
AUGUAUGAUUGUAUUGAUGGUGAUGACGUCUGGCGCAAGCUCCUGGCUUUGGUUCAUAGGAAGAAGAAGGGACGGAAGCAGAGAGAGAGGAGUAGUUGUGGGAUGGGGUCCGUAGUUUUCUUCAUGAGCCGAGUAGACUCUCUGGUGGCCUGUGGAUCGUGGUGCGUCUCGACCAAGUGGCAGAGCGACGGCCGGCGCUGGACUUCGCAUAUCGAGAGUCCCGACCCCGAGGUCUCUGAGGUAUCGCCUGAUGCGCUGCUCCACGGCAACACAGACGGCGACGAGUUCGUGGUGUCGCACUUGCCGUGGAUGGCGUCCUCCGUCUUCGGUCUGUUGAUUUGUCCAUUCACAACAUGGGGAAUUCAUUACCGACAUAUGCGAGGUGUCCUCGUGUCACCACGUGAGGAGCCCCAAAGCGUUUAG